rnacentral:tRNA from 1 species
GCUGAUAUGGCUCAGUUGGUAGAGCGCACCCUUGGUAAGGGUGAGGUCCCCAGUUCGACUCAGGCUAACACACCA